rnacentral:rRNA from 1 species
UACGUAGGGGGCAAGCGUUGUCCGGAUUUAUUGGGCGUAAAGAGCGUGUAGGCGGCUAGGUAGUCCGUUGUGAAAACUCGAGGCUCAACCUCGAGACGUCGAUGGAAACCAUCUAGCUAGAGUCCGGAAGAGGAGAGUGGAAUUCCUGGUGUAGCGGUGAAAUGCGCAGAUAUCAGGAAGAACACCCGUGGCGAAGGCGGCUCUCUGGUACGUGACUGACGCUGAGACGCGAAAGCGUGGGGAGCGAACAGG